CAGUAGCCGCGGUAAUACGGAGGGUGCAAGCGUUAUCCGGAUUCACUGGGUUUAAAGGGUGCGUAGGCGGAUCUGUAAGUCAGUGGUGAAAUCUCCGGGCUUAACCUGGAAACUGCCGUUGAUACUAUAGGUCUUGAAUUUUGUGGAGGUUAGCGGAAUAUGUCAUGUAGCGGUGAAAUGCAUAGAUAUGACAUAGAACACCAAUUGCGAAGGCAGCUGGCUACACAACUAUUGACGCUGAGGCACGAAAGCGUGGGGAUCAAACAGGAUUAGAUACCCCCGUAGUCCCUGUCUCUUAUAC
rnacentral:rRNA from 1 species